AGUGAACGCUGGCGGUAGGCCUAACACAUGCAAGUCGAACGGCAGCACAGUGAGAUCUUGCUCUUACCGGUGGCGGGUGGCGGGCGGGUAACGAAUACAUCAGAAUCUACUUUUUCGGGGGGGAUAACGUAGGAAAACUUACGCUAAUACCGCAUACAACCUACGGGUGAAAGCAAGGGAUCUUCGGACCUUUCGCGAUUGAAUGAGCCGAUGUCGGAUUAGCUAGUUGGCGGGGUAAAGGCUCACCAAGGCAACGAUACGUAGCCGGCCUGAGAGGAUGAUCGGCCACACUGGAACUGAGACACGGUCCAGACUCCUACGGGAGGCAGCAGUGGGGAAUAUUCCGCAAUGGGCGAAAGCCUGACGGAGCAACGCCGCGUGAGUGAAGAAGGUCUUCGGAUCGUAAAACUCUGUUAUUAGGGAAGAACAGCUGUGUGAGAAUCUACGCAUGUCUUGACGGUACCUAAUCAGUAAGCCCCGGCUAACUUCGUG
rnacentral:rRNA from 1 species